CCUUGCCUUGGUCCCUGAGAACCGUCUUCCGACCCUUCCUCCUUCGGUGCUGACUGCUCCCGCGGCUCUUUACGCUGAGAUGUUUCACUGACUUCUGCCUGAGAUCUGGAAAAGGAACACUGCCCAAUAGAUGAACAUGUGUGAAAAAUAACUUCCAAGGAACAUCAUGUGCGCAGGGACUGUGCUAAACAGAAAACUGUCAGUCACUGCGGGAAUGUGCCUCCCUGAUCGCCGCGAUCGCCCGCUGCCGCAGCUGUUUCUCCUUCACACGCAUAGGCUCCCUGUCUUGCAUGGGAGGGAGCAGACCCAGGGGACACCAGACCAACUUGAGUUCACAUGGGUUGACUAUCCACACCUCUCUCCUCUGUCUUUGGUAUCCCGUGAAGUGUGCUGUGUCUCCUCUACCCUGUGAUUCCUGUUCAUCUCAGGAAGCAGCUGAAAGGGUCAGGAAGGUCCUGGGACAUUAAACUACUGUUUGGAUGAUGUUUGUCUACACUCAUUUUCUGGGGAAUGAUGCGGCUGCCAGACCACGUUAGUGGUCAACUGUCAGGAG
rnacentral:lncRNA from 1 species